rnacentral:rRNA from 1 species
UACGGGGGGAGCAAGCGUUGUUCGGAUUUACUGGGCGUAAAGGGCGCGUAGGCGGCGCAACAAGUCACUUGUGAAAUCUCCGGGCUUAACCCGGAGCGGUCAAGUGAUACUGUCGUGCUAGAGUGCGGAAGGGGCUACUGGAAUUCUCGGUGUAGCGGUGAAAUGCGUAGAUAUCGAGAGGAACACCAAAGGCGAAGGCAGCUCGCUGGGACGGUACUGACGCUGAGGUGGCGAAAAGCGUGGGGAGCGAACAGG